rnacentral:pre_miRNA from 1 species
GUAACAUUCGGAUCGUUGGUCUAGGUAGCAAUUUCAUCCGCUCUGUGGAGGAUCUUCCCUUUAUCGA